GACGUAGGGCGCGAGCGUUGUCCGGAUUUAUUGGGCGUAAAGAGCUCGUAGGUGGUUUGUCGCGUUGUUCGUGAAAACUCACAGCUCAACUGUGGGCGUGCGGGCGAUACGGGCAGACUGGAGUACUGCAGGGGAGACUGGAAUUCCUGGUGUAGCGGUGGAAUGCGCAGAUAUCAGGAAGAGCACCCGUGGCAAGGCGGCU
rnacentral:rRNA from 1 species